UCCCGCCGGACCUGAGCGACCCGGUCGGGUCGGGGCGCACGCGCGGAAGCCGCGCUCGGCUCCCGGCGGUCCGCAGAGGAGCCGCACCCGAGCAGCCCGGCCCCGGCCUCGCCGCGCAGAGCCUUACCCGAAGCCUCGUCCUGCGACAGGUGGUCCUGCGGACGCAGCCCUGCCGCCCGCCCCACGAUGUUCAGCCCCGGGGCGGCUGGUCCUGCCCUCCUUACCCCCGAGCUCCCAGAAGCCCGCGCCAGCUCAGGCUCACCCUGGCGUGGACCGCCGCACAAACCUCAAGGGAGCCAGGAAAGCGGGGAGAGCCGGCGCGGCCCUGGGCGGACGGACGGGCGCGCGAACCAAUGGGAGGCAGGGACCCUGCGGGGGGCGGUGCCUCGAGCACCUUCCUCCUUUCGGUUGGUUUCCUCCUGGUUAACUGUUCGGGGGCCGCGCGCGCGCCCCGAGUGGACGCGACCCGGAGACCUCGGAGAGCCUAGCAGAGUUGGAGGACUUUAGAGGCAGGCAGCUCUGAGGAAGAACCGAGUAUUCCUUAACGCGGUCCUUCCCUCGGCGCACUCCCGGCUUUGGCUUGGGGAGGGGGGUGGCGAGGCAGGGCUGCGAGUUCGCGCGAGGGCGCGCUCUGCGCAGGCGCGAGCGGGGUGUCGGCGGGUACCAGUCUCGGAAUCCAAGGAGGUUAGAGAAACUGCUGGGAUUGGGUCCAUCCUGAAGGCCCUUGGAAGAAGGGAGAGGAUGGAGGAGAGAUUUAAGAGCUGGAUACAAGGGGUACAAGUAAUCAAAGUAACCCAAGAUUCACCUGCUUUCCAAUAUCCAUUAAUACAUGCUCAGUUGUGGCUCCAGGGGCCACCACCAAAUGACAGUAAGGACACAGGAGAGAAGUACCUGCCCAGCACACCCAGGAACAUGAUGGACAAAUGCCAGACUCAUGAAAAUGCAGCAGAAGAAACAAAGAAAUGGCAACUUGGGACAGGGCGAGAUGGACAGAGAGGAGGACAGAAAGCGUGGAGGAAAUUGUGUACUAUAGCCAACAUUAAAGACUGACAUCACCAC
rnacentral:lncRNA from 1 species